UACGGGGGGGGCAAGCGUUGUUCGGAAUUACUGGGCGUAAAGGGUUCGUAGGUGGCCAACUAAGUCAGACGUGAAAUCCCUCAGCUUAACUGGGGAACUGCGUCUGAGACUGGAUGGCUUGAGUGCAGGAGAGGAACGCGGAAUUCCAGGUGUAGCGGUGAAAUGCGUAGAUAUCUGGAGGAACACCGGUGGCGAAGGCGGCGUUCUGGACUGCAACUGACGCUGAGGCACGAAAGUGUGGGGAUCAAACAGG
rnacentral:rRNA from 1 species